UACGGGGGGAGCAAGCGUUGUUCGGAUUUACUGGGCGUAAAGGGCGCGUAGGCGGCGUGACAAGUCACUUGUGAAAUCUCCGGGCUUAACUCGGAACGGUCAAGUGAUACUGUCGUGCUAGAGUACAGAAGGGGCAACUGGAAUUCUCGGUGUAGCGGUGAAAUGCGUAGAUAUCGAGAGGAACACCUGCGGCGAAGGCGGGUUGCUGGGCUGAUACUGACGCUGAGGUGCGAAAGCUAGGGGAGCGAACGGG
rnacentral:rRNA from 1 species